rnacentral:rRNA from 1 species
UACGUAGGGGGCUAGCGUUGUCCGGAUUUAUUGGGCGUAAAGAGCGUGUAGGCGGCCAGGUAGGUCCGGUGUGAAAACUCGAGGCUUAACCUCGAGAUGUCAUCGGAAACCAUCUGGCUAGAGUCCGGAAGAGGAGAGUGGAAUUCCUGGUGUAGCGGUGAAAUGCGCAGAUAUCAGGAAGAACACCAAUGGCGAAAGCAGCUCUCUGGGACGGUACUGACGCUGAGACGCGAAAGCCGUGGGGAGCGAACAGG